AGAACUGGGGCACCGUGCGCAGCAGCACGCGGCCCGGGCCACCCUGCCUUCUAGGCCUGGAGCUCGAGCCCCCAGGGUGGCAAUACCAAGCUGGAGGGUAAGCAAGGGUGGAGUAAUAGUGGGGUUGAGGUCUCCGAGGCAAGUACGGAGCGUGCCCCCACCACUUCGAGGCCGCCUAUCCAGGGGCGGUGGCUACGAUGAGCUCAUGGGGGCGGGGCGCCAAGAUCCCGCCCUUCUCGACCCCCCCCCCCCCCACUGCUCGCGAUGCAGGAUGGUCCCCAAAACAACGUUCAGGAGGGUGCGAGUACCCCCUUCAUAGCUGAGGGCUCUUGAUUACCUGGCUCUAGCCCGCAGACUCUUGCACCAGUUCCCAGCACUCAGAGGGGACAGGCCAGCGAUCCCCUGAUUUCCCGGCCCCAGAAGCCCCUCGAGCCGAGGCCCCGGAAGCUCAGCCCUCGGCCCCAACCCGCUGGCGAGGGGCGCCAGGACCCCGAUCAGGGUUAGGGCGCACGGAGCCCACAGGUGGCGUCGCAACUUCGCGGUUGCGCUGCGCCUUCUCAGCAGGGCCUAGCGCGCUGCCCAGCCUGGCUACCGUGGGGUGCGCCCUGUCCCCAGUGGCUGCUCACCCAGAAGACGAAAUUGAAGACGAAGAGCAGGAUUUCAACAUAGACCAAAGACCAGCAUCUCUUCAGGAAUUUUCUAGGACUCCAGCACUAGAUGGUACUGCUGAGACACCCAGUCUUGGGGACUGAACAACUGCCAGAUUCUUGGCCUUCCCACUGGAAGACUGCUAUUGUUGGAAUACCAGGCUACAGCCGGUAUCCCCUGAACCCUUCGCCAAAGGAGAAUGUGUGAUUCUUGGUGAUGUUUGCUGUCCCCCUGACAUCCGUAACUCAAAGACUAUGGGUCAUGUGAUUGAGGAAUAAGCUAGGGAAGAUACAUGAAGAAAACAGUCAAAGAUCUGAUCUGUCCGUGGUUAAAGAUGUGAGCUCGCCAUGUCUUCCACUUGUUGCUAUGCCUUCCUGCGAUGAUGGACUCUCAUCCCUCUGGAACGAUGUUUCCAGAGCGGUCUAACCUGGGCAGGAGUGAGCACUUUCCAGCAGGUGGCCGAGUACUAAAAGGUGGCCCAGUCUAAAGAAAAAGCAGUGUUGGCUGCCUGCCUGCCUUCCCUGGGUCUGGAGCCAGGGUGUCCAUCUGCUGCCACUGUCUUCUUUUGACGUCAGACUGAAGUUUCUUCAGCCUUCUCUAACAAGAACGAAACACCAGUGACUCUUCAGGAAUUUUCCAGGCCUUCAGCACCAGACUGAGACUGCUGAAGCGAUCAGCUUUUUGGACUAAACAGCCUGUUUAGUGUUGUGGAGGUCAAUCUAAUAAAUCCUCCUUUAUAACACACAUUUCCUCUAUUAGUUCUGUCUCCAAAGAACCCUAUUUCAUCCACAUUGAGGUACCAGUAGUAGGUUCUAGAGAGGCAGAACUCUAAGGAUGGAUUUCUCUAGUGGGCUUGAUGGUGUUUGACCUGGCUCUCCAAUUCAUCUACACUUGGAAUUGCUAAAGACUCUACACUUCUCUGGUAGUGUAGAGAGAGCAUUACCAAUCCAUCUUAGGGGUUCAAGAACUGUACAGUGAGUUCACACAUACACACGCAUACAUGUGCACACAUGUAUAGAUAAACAAACAAAUUAAAUAAAUAAAUGUAAC
ensembl:processed_transcript R74862 expressed sequence R74862